CCAAUAGCGUAUAUUAAAGUUGUUGCAGUUAAAAAGCUCGUAGUUGAAUUUCGGGACCAUCAUGUCGGUCGUGCCUCGGUACGUACUGGCAUUGUUGGUUUCUCCCUUCUGACGAACCAUGAUGUCAUUUAUUUGGUGUUGUGGGGAAUCAGGACUGUUACUUUGAAAAAAUUAGAGUGUUUAAAGCAGGCUCACGCUUGAAUACAUUAGCAUGGAAUAAUGAAAUAGGACGUUUGAUUCUAUUUUGUUGGUUUCUAGGAUCGACGUAAUGAUUAAUAGGGAUAGUUGGGGGCAUUAGUAUUCAAUUGUCAGAGGUGAAAUUCUUGGAUUUAUUGAAGACUAACUACUGCGAAAGCAUUUGCCAAGGAUGUUUGCAUUAAUCAAGAACGAAAGUUAGGGGAUCGAAGACGAUCAGAUACCGUCGUAGUCUUAACCAUAAACUAUGCCGACUAGGGAUCGGAUGAUGUUAAUUUUUUAAUGACUCAUUCGGCGCCUUACG
rnacentral:rRNA from 1 species